rnacentral:rRNA from 1 species
AGAGUUUGAUCAUGGCUCAGAAUGAACGCUGGCGGCGUGCUUAACACAUGCAAGUCGUACGAGAACUCUUUAGCUUGCUAAAGAUAGUAAAGUGGCGCACGGGUGAGUAACGCGUGGGUAAUCUACCUCCGAAUCGGGGAUAACCCGCCGAAAGGCGAGCUAAUACCGGAUGAUAUCUUUGAGACUUCGGCUUCAAAGAUCAAAGAUGGUCUCUACAUGUAAGCUAUUGUUUGGAGAUGAGCCCGCGUACCAUUAGCUUGUUGGUAGGGUAACGGCCUACCAAGGCCACGAUGGUCAGCUGGUCUGAGAGGAUGAUCAGCCACACUGGAACUGACACACGGUCCAGACUCCUACGGGAGGCAGCAGUGAGGAAUUUUGCGCAAUGGGGGAAACCCUGACACAGCAACGCCGCGUGAGUGAUGAAGGCUUUCGGGUCGUAAAACUCUGUCAAGUGGGAAGAACCUGUUGGAUAUUAAUAUCAUUCAACACUGACGGUACCACUAAAGGAAGCACCGGCUAACUCCGUGCCAGCAGCCGCGGUAAUACGGGGGGUGCAAGCGUUAUUCGGAAUUAUUGGGCGUAAAGGGCGCGUAGGCGGUCCUUAAUGUCAGAUGUGAAAGCCCGGGGCUCAACCCCGGAAGUGCAUUUGAAACUUAGGGACUUGAGUAUGGGAGAGGGAAGUGGAAUUCCUGGUGUAGCGGUGAAAUGCGUAGAUAUCAGGAGGAACACCAGUGGCGAAGGCGACUUCCUGGACCAAUACUGAGCUGAGGCGCGAAGGCGUGGGGAGCAAACAGGAUUAGAUACCCUAGUAGUCC